GCCGGGUGUGGUGGCUCACAACUGUAAUCCCAGCACUUUGGGAGGCCGAGGCAGGCAGAUCACCUGAGGUCAGGAGUUCGAGACUCGCCUGGCCAACAUGGUGAGACCCUGCCUCUA
ensembl:misc_RNA Metazoa_SRP Metazoan signal recognition particle RNA